rnacentral:rRNA from 1 species
GAAGCCCCCCUCAAGAUAAGAUUUCCCAUACCGAAAGGUAGUAAGACCCCUUGUAGAUUACAAGGUUGAUAGGUCAGAGGUGGAAGUGCAGUAAUGCAUGCAGCUGACUGAUACUAAUAGGUCGAGGGCUUGAUCAAU